rnacentral:tRNA from 1 species
GGGGCUGUGGCUCAGCGGUAGAGCGCCCCCCUAACAUAUGGGAGGCCCUGGGUUCGAUCCUCAGUACCUCA